CCGUUCACGCGCCAUUCAAAUCCAAAUUGGGAAUAAUCGCUCUUCUUAUACUUCUUCGCUCCUCCACCACUCUCUUUUCCACUGCGUCGACUACUACUCUGAAGCAACGUAGUGCGAACGAAGCCCUAAGUUGCAAGCGAAGAUUUGUGUUCAAAUUCUUCUCAUGAUUCAACUCUCGCUUGAGUUCCUCAAGCAAGGACCAAGGAUCUUCCCCAUCAGGAAGCAACAUAUUUGGGUACUUAUUUCCUUUGAAAGAUCUUGUCCACGCCUGCUCUCUUUCGCAAUUUGCUUUCUGAGAGUCUGCAGCUCUAGCUCUGAUACUUCUAACUUCCGUGUCAGAACAUCAAUAUCACCCCUUAAUUUCUCAAUAUCAUCAUCUGAAUCUUGCAAUCCGGUCUCUCCUGAGGUGUUGUUCGAUCCAUCCGAGCUUCUAUCGGGAGCUGAACUGCCAGACCAGUCACCGGAGCUGAUAUGGCAUCAAAGCUGUGGGACUUUUGGAGGUUGCCAUUACUCUCAAUACGAAGAGAAAUGUUUCUGCUGGAUGGGAAUUUCAUUUGGGCUUGGCUGUUCAUAUUUAAGCAAUCCUGCAGGAAAUGAACCGGCCUCGUCAACAGUUGUGCAUUGCAUGGAAAAGCAUGAGAGACCAUGAGCAAUAAUGUUUCCACGUGAGCGGACGCUCAAGCAAUGAAUCAUUCACACCCAUCGCCAUCCUAUAUUCAAGAGACUCGCUCAGCCAACUCAGCCGAGUCGUACAGUUGUCACAUUAAUUACUCCCGAGUCUAGUUAGACUGUGGUCCACAGCACUGUUCACUUAACUCUCUUUUAGGUUUAGAUGCUACAUAGAAAUAUAUUGCCUUAUAAUAAAUCUAUUAUUAAUGGACGACAUUGUUUUUGAUCAAUAUUUUGACACCUAGUAAAUUUUAUAA